GUUAUUUUAAUUUUCAAGAUUUAUAUUUCAAAUGUCCAUAUUUACAAAAGUUCACAUUCGUUUAUUUAUUUUGACACGGUAAACGAAAAAUAUUUAAUAUUAGCUCUGCGAAUGUAACACCUCGACAAAUAAUACACGCAGGUAAAUGCGAUAAUAUAUAUUUUGUAUUAUAAAAGUAAAAAAAAAAAAUAUAUAUAUAUAUAUAAUAUAUUAUUAUAUACCUAGUUUUAAUAUAUUAUCAGAAUACCUAUAUAUAGUUAAUAAUUUCAAAAAUAUAAUAUGGCGGAAAUCAAUAUUGGUACAAAAAAAAAAAAAAGUUUCAUACAAAAUAAGAGAAGUCGUCGUAAUUGAAAACACAGUCUUUGCAUUCGAGUAAAAAAAAAAAAAAAAAAUAAAUGGCAGGAAUAAAUAUUUUUUAACUAUUAAUGAUAACACGAAAUUAUACAUAAUAUAAUAAUAAUACCUACCGACUAUACUUACAAUAAUACAUUAUCGUACAAUUUUACAAUGUUUUACAAAAAAUAACCGAAAAAGGCAGACGCGGCAGACCCCCGAGUUACAUAGGAAAAUGCGUGUGACUCGCGCGAUCUCCGGCGGUCCGACGCGGUUCAGUACCUAAUUACCUAAUAACUACUAUACAGUCGUUUUUUUUUUUUUUCUUUUGCCACACACAAACAUACACAAUACAUAUUAGAUAAUUUACAAUAGAAUAAAAAAAAAAAAAAUAUAUGUAUAGUAUUAUAAUAAUAAUAUAUCUCACGGUGGAAAAAAAAAUUAAAAAAGAGUUAGUUUGAAUUGUAUUUACUGAUACAAUACAUGCACAUGUACAUACGUGAAUGUAUAUAUUCAUAAUAUAUUGUGUAAGAUACUGCGUAAAAAAAAAAAAUAAUAAUAAUAAUAAACAUAAUACAAAGUGAGCAAAACGAUAAUAUUAUUAUAACACAUAAUGAUUGCACACGGGAUAUAAAAAAUAAAAAAAAAAUUUGAUUUCGAGUACAUAUGGCAAGGCGUUUACGUUAUUUUCACGCAGAGGUGUAUACGAUAAUCUGUACUAAUUAUUUUAGACUAUCGGUUUAUUUCGCGUUUAUAGAACAUGACAAAAAAAAAAAAAAAUAUUAAAAAAAAAACCUUAACACUAUAUUCGGUAGUCAGUGCGCGUGUUAUAAUACCAUGACAUCGUCGUCAUAAUACUUAAAACGCGCACAAUUAUCACAAUAUCUAUAAAAAUAUAUAAAAUGUAUAAAAAAAAAAAAAAAAAAAAAAAAAAAAACUCUACCUUUGAUUUUAUCGCUGAACACCGUCCAUUGCGGUGCGCUAUAUUUGAAUCCGUAAAAAUAAUGCUAAAAAUUAUACUAAUUUAUUACAUGGUAAAAAAGAAACCGGAGCGCAAAACUCAACGGCCGCCGAAAGGGUACUGUCGGUGUACGUAUUAUUAUUAUUGUUGUUUAUUCGUUGGCUGCGUACUAAUCGAAACACGUGUU